GACGAACCGUGCAAACGUUAUUCGGAAUCACUGGGCAUAAAGGGCGCGUAGGCGGCUCCAAAAGUCAGGGGGUGAAAUCCGGCAGCUUAACUGUCGCAGUGCCUUUGAUACUGUGGAGCUAGAGGGAGGUAGGGGUCUGUGGAACUUCCGGUGGAGCGGUGAAAUGCGUUGAUAUCGGAAGGAACGCCGGUGGCGAAAGCGACGGACUGGAUCUCUUCUGACGCUGAGGCGCGAAAGCCAGGGGAGCAAACGGG
rnacentral:rRNA from 1 species